rnacentral:rRNA from 1 species
ACACUCCUGCGGGAGGCAACAGUGGGGAAUAUUGGACAAUGGGCGCAAGCCUGAUCCAGCCAUGCCGCGUGAGUGAUGAAGGCCCUAGGGUUGUAAAGCUCUUUCACCGGUGAAGAUAAUGACGGUAACCGGAGAAGAAGCCCCGGCUAACUUCGUGCCAGCAGCCGCGGUAAUACGAAGGGGGCUAGCGUUGUUCGGAUUUACUGGGCGUAAAGCGCACGUAGGCGGACUAUUAAGUCAGGGGUGAAAUCCCGGGGCUCAACCCCGGAACUGCCUUUGAUACUGGUAGUCUUGAGUUCGAGAGAGGUGAGUGGAAUUCCGGGUGUAGAGGUGAAAUUCGUAGAUAUUCGGAGGAACACCAGUGGCGAAGGCGGCUCACUGGCUCGAUACUGACGCUGGGGUGCGAAAGCGUGGGGAGCAAACAGGAUUAGAAACCCUAGUAGUCCC